GACGAACGCUGGCGGCGUGCUUAACACAUGCAAGUCGAACGGAAAGGCCCUGCUUUUGUGGGGUGUUCGAGUGGCGAACGGGUGAGUAACACGUGAGUAACCUGCCCUUGACUUUGGGAUAACUUCAGGAAACUGGGGCUAAUACCGGAUAGGAGCUCCUGCUGCAUGGUGGGGGUUGGAAAGUUUCGGCGGUUGGGGAUGGACUCGCGGCUUAUCAGCUUGUUGGUGGGGUAGUGGCUUACCAAGGCUUUGACGGGUAGCCGGCCUGAGAGGGUGACCGGCGACAUUGGGACUGAGAUGCGGCCAAGAAUCCUACGGGCGGCAGCAGUGGGGAAUAUUGCACAAUGGGCGGAAGCCUGAUGCAGCAACACCGCGUGCGGGAUGACGGCCUUCGGGUUGUAAACCGCUUUCGCCUGUGAUGAAGCGUGAGUGACGGUAAUGGGUAAAGAAGCACCGGCUAACUACGUG
rnacentral:rRNA from 1 species